GAGGGUGUACCGUAGGCAUUGUUGACGGUGAAGACAGAAAUUUGAAGCGAGCGGGAGUCUUGGCUCGGAAAACGAAGGAAACUGCUUGUGGAAAGUGCCACGUACAAGGAAGUGCGCAGUCCGAGAUGACAGAUGUCUUGAUGGAUAUCAGACAUUAACUUCUGUGGUGAUGGCCUGAAAUCACCUAAAAGAUCACCAAACAACCAGGUGGGCUUCCCUGGUGGCGCAGUGGUUAAGAAUCCGCCUGCCAAUGUAGGGGACACGGGUUCAAGCCCUGGCCCAGGAAGAUCUGCAGAGCAACUAAGCCCGUGCACCACAACUGAGCCAAAAUUACUGAAGCCCGUGCGCCUAGAGCCCAUGCUCCGCCACGAGAGAAGCCACCGCAAUGAGAAGCCUGCACACCACAACGAAGAGUAGCCCCGCUCACUGCAACUAGAGAAAGCCCGCGCACAGCAACAAAGACCCAA